rnacentral:rRNA from 1 species
GAUGAACGCUGGCGGCGUGCCUAAUACAUGCAAGUCGAGCGAAUGGAUUAAGAGCUUGCUCUUAUGAAGUUAGCGGCGGACGGGUGAGUAACACGUGGGUAACCUGCCCAUAAGACUGGGAUAACUCCGGGAAACCGGGGCUAAUACCGGAUAACAUUUUGAACCGCAUGGUUCGAAAUUGAAAGGCGGCUUCGGCUGUCACUUAUGGAUGGACCCGCGUCGCAUUAGCUAGUUGGUGAGGUAACGGCUCACCAAGGCAACGAUGCGUAGCCGACCUGAGAGGGUGAUGGGCCACACUGGGACUGAGACACGGCCCGGACUCCUACGGGAGGCAGCAGUAGGGAAACUUCCGCAAUGGACGAAAGUCUGACGGAGCAACGCCGCGUGAGUGAUGAAGGCUUUCGGGUCGUAAAACUCUGUUGUUAGGGAAGAACAAGUGCUAGUUGAAUAAGCUGGCACCUUGACGGUACCUAACCAGAAAGCCACGGCUAACUACGUGCCAGCCGCCGCAGUAA